rnacentral:lncRNA from 1 species
AUCCACAAGUCAAGAUUGACGUCUAGCAACGUAUCAUGACUAUCUGAAAGAUUUGAAAUUUUGAUGAAAAAUUAUCAAAAUACCCUUUAGUGGCAAGUUACCGUGUAAAAUUCUUCAGUCAAACAAUAUUCCAGAUGAGCUGUGGGCAUGAAAAUAUGUCAAAUCCAAUCAUUUAUCAUUAUAUAUCUCGAUCUGAAGGCGAUGAUUCAGUUGAUGAUAUAUUAGAAAUCUUUUUUUAAUUAUGAUCCUGCUUUGGCCAAAGACUUUCGAAUCAUCGACCUAUGAGAUCACAUAGGAUGUUCGCUCCUCUUAUUAGGAGUGACUGAUCCCUUAUUGAUCACUCACAAUCUCCAUGCACACUUUAUCAUAUCCAGAACACCCCACACAAGGAUCAAAGAAUCAAGUUAGAUAGUGAACUAAAAUAUGGAUCCAUAUACACAAGAUACCAUAGUGACCUCAGGUCUAAGGAUCACUUACACAACUCCCACUAG